rnacentral:lncRNA from 1 species
CCCGCGCGGUGUCCCCCGCCAGCCCCACCGGGCCCGGGCUGCAGCGUCUCCCGCCCGCAGCGCGCACCGGGGCCAGCGGCUCCCACUCACCCGGCCCGGCUCGGCGUCCCCGAGCCCGCAGCCUCCCCAGCCGGGGCUUUCCGUUACGCCUCCUCGCAGCCACCUCUCGGGUCCCGCGGGCCGCUCCGGGAAGGCGGAGGGAGGAGAGAGGGGAGGAGGCGACGAGAGGAGGGGGUGAGGGAGGGAGGGGAGAGGGUCCACGGGUGGGGGAGGAGGAGCAGGCGAGGCGAGAGCGCCGACCUGGGCCGCCGCCGGGCUAGCGCGGAGGGAGGAGAAAGAGGGGCGGGAGCAGAGAAAGAAAGAGGCCGCCAAGCCUCCCCGCCCAGGACCCGGCCCCGCGCCGCUGCCCAGUCGCCGUCGCCGCCUCCGUCCGGCUCCCGGGCCGAGCGUCCGGGGGGAGGGGUCGGGCCCGGGGCUCUCCCGGCGCGGGGCGGGAGGGGAGUGUGCUGCGGGCACCGGAGGGUGUGAGCGAAAGGGGAUCCCCGGGGGGAGGGACAGGGACCCGGGGGCCUGGGAGCUGGUCACUGCGCCCGCCCGGCGGCGCCUCCCGGAAUCCUGCGAGGGUCCCCAGAGCCUCGCCGGGGAACAUCGGGGACAGUUUCGAGACGCCGUCUCAAGAGCGCCGAGAGCACGAACGGUGCGGCCGGGGAGGCCCGGAGCGGCGAAGUCGGAGCAGGGGUCUUUCCAGUUGCCCGGUCCUUUUCAAGACCGAUGCCACCUUCCUGGUUCUUGGUAGAGACGUCAUGGCUCCAGCAGCCUCCUCCUUGGUUUCCUGCUGUGGCAUCCAUCUGCACAAGUCUACAGGUGUUACUACUUGGUGGUGCAAAAUAUGAGGUGCUGAGAACAACUGUAUGUGAACCAACACAACCACCCCAUUUUACUAAUAUCUUUUCCCUACAUAUAAAUCAUGAAUGAGUUAAUCUGUGUUACAUAUGCUCUUAUUACCGAAACAUGCUGGUAACAGAGCAGAUUCACUUAAUUUUGUGCUUAGAAAGUAGACUAUACUUCGUUCUGCAGAUCUGUUGAGCACUGUAUGCCAGGAACUGGUUCAGGCACUGGGGAUGCAUCGGUGAACAAAGAGAAACACAAAAAUUCCUGCCUUCAUCAACUAUGGGUGCUUGAACAGGGCAUGAUGGAUGGUCUGUAUAAUUUGGUCGUAUUACACAUUUCAUGUGUACAUAACUUGAAUUGAUACCUCAUGUACAUUUUAAUCUCUUUGAGGGCUAGAGUUGAGCCUUAUGUCAUAUCUUUCACAUUGUCUGACAGUAAAUACUGGAAACUGUAAAUUAAGGACUUUACACCCAUUUAUAUCUUGCGCUAUUGAAUUCACAGGAAACCACCUGAGAAAUCGGAGGUUUUCUCAGAACCCUAUUUGUUGCAAGUUGGGCUAAAAUCAAAGCAAGCGUCCCCAGAUGGAUUAUUUGAAUUUGAACAAUAGAUAAAUUACACUCUUUAGGAAGCAAGACAUUAGACAUGGGAAGGGGAGAGAGAAUAGAGAAGGAGAUGCUAAAUGGUGUAGUUCAAGAAGAAAGUAGCUGCUAAGUUCUCUGGAAAGGCAGGCCAGGGAAAGAAGGACAAUAACAGGAACUUCGAGGUAUUGUGAAUGCUGCUUCUAUCAUGAGCUUCAGCCACAUUUUCAAGAAACACUUACUAUGAGGCGUAAGUGAGGAGGCAAUUAUAAGAAAUUAAAGGGAACCUGCCAAGUUUGGUCAAAUGACAAGACCUUGGAAGAAAAUAAUUAUGAGCCACCACAUAGAUCAUAAGGCAAAAUUACUAUGGUGCCUGGUUAAAAUGUGCUUCUGAACUUACUCAGUCCUUGGGACAGUGUAGCCCACCUGGUGUAACUGGCAGCACCAGGCUACCUGUUUUUCAUGUGUGAAGACUUGGUAUCCUAUUCUGAGUAUGAGUCUGCUUGGGAUUUAAAUGAAGUCUGCAUUUAUAACAGACACAUUUGAUAUGUUUUCAUGAUUGGCAUCACACUGAAUUUAGAUUAAAUUUGCUGAUUCAUCUUUAUAAAAACCUACCUCUCAAAUCCACUACCCGCCCCCCCACCAUUUUGAGAAAUUGGUAUUUCCUUAAACUGUGAUCAUGAAUGUUAGUACGGAACACAAACUUCGAAAUCAAUGUCUUUGGAAAAAUCACAAAAAAAUUAAAGUUCUUCAACUGAG